UUUCAUGAAAUAUCUGCUGAAAGUCAAGAACUCCAUGUAUAUACCACAAAAUUAAGAGAAGUAAGGAAAAGGGUAAGUUGAAGGGGGGUGAAAAUGUUGAAAUGAGUGACACUGAUCAAGAGACAGUGUGUUCAUAAACUGCUUUGUUAAAUGGUGCUUCUUUUGCUCCACUACUUAAAGAAGUAUCUGCCUAAAAAGCUUCGAGCAAUCAUCAGUGGUCAACCACCUCACACAGUGUUUCCAUUUAUGCUGCUGCGUCAUUUGUCCUUCAUAGUAUUUACCGUGACCUGAUCUGACAUUUAUUACUAUAUAGUUUAUUGACGGUCUCCACAAAUAGAACCUGAGCUUCCAUAGAACAAAAUACUUUGUGUUCUCUUCACUUCCAUGUCCUCCCUAUCUGAAACACAUGCUUCUCAUUACCCAAAGAACAUGCAGAAUGAACAGAGUUUGGAUGGGAAUGCCUUCAAGGGAUCCUACUACUCACUUCAGCUGCCUUGUGGAGUAUUUUGGAGCCCGGUCCUUACACUAAAGAACUAUGAGGCAGGUACCAGGCUUCUGCGAGGAUGCUCCACCUCCCAGACCCAGCUCUCUCGGGCAGCACUGUGGUCCGAUCCCUCACAUUGUAGCCCUCCAGUGUUCAUUUUCUAACUCUAAUCCAGCAGAAAAGAGAACCAAGUUCUGAAAUGUUCUGAGGGUCCAGGAGGACCACACACAAGAAGUUCAACUCAGAUCUCUGCACACAUGGUUCAGGUCUAGUUUGACCAGCCACACGGAUACAAAGCCCCACACGGCUCCUAGAUCAACAGAAGACCGAGAGCAAAGCAUGCAUAUACAAAGAAACUGCUGUCAGGACAAAUCUUCCAGCUGUACCUCAUCCCAACCACAAGUAUCUCAUCAAAGAAA